rnacentral:rRNA from 1 species
CAGCCGCCGCGGUAAUACGAAGGGGGCUAGCGUUGCUCGGAAUGACUGGGCGUAAAGGGCGCGUAGGCGGCGAUCAAAGUCAGGCGUGAAAUUCCUGGGCUCAACCUGGGGGCUGCGUUUGAUACUUGAUUGCUAGAGUGGGGAAGAGGGUCGUGGAAUUCCCAGUGUAGAGGUGAAAUUCGUAGAUAUUGGGAAGAACACCGGUGGCGAAGGCGGCGACCUGGUCCUUGACUGACGCUGAGGCGCGAAAGCGUGGGGAGCAAACAGGAUUAGAUACCCCCGUAGUCCCUGUCUCUUAUCC